ensembl:lncRNA PROX1-AS1 PROX1 antisense RNA 1
ACGCAGGUCUUUUUUUUUUUUUUUCUUUUUCUUUUUUCAUUUCCCAGAUACAGCUGAUCGAGUUCGCCGAGUGGCCGAGCGAGUGAGCGCUCCUCCGACUUGGGUGGAGGAAGCUAUUCACAGAUCAUCAUCAGCCAGAGGUGACUUCUGUUGCUUGCAGCUCAGAAUCCUAGAUGUUUCCGGUGGCACUGAAGAGCCUCUGCUGAAGCUCUAUACCAUUUGCCAUUUACAAAGGGAAAUGAAAUAAUAACGCUGACCAUUUGUGGAGCACAUUCUGUCUGGAGGCAAAGGAUGCCAAGAUGGGAAAGCCACAUAAUGGAAGGAUCCUGGAUUUCAGAGCUGUCACUUGGAGGAGGGGCACCCAGUGAAGGUGUCUUAUCUAACCCACACCAUAUCUUCAUGAAGUGGCCAUAUGGAUUUGAUCCCUAUCCUUCAGAGGUGCUCAGCCUAAGGGAACACGGAUAGUAGAUUAAGCACUGACCAGGUUCCUCUUGAGACCACAGUGUUGCAGGAGGCAGUGUCCAUAAUACAAGGCAGAGUGUGAUACACGCUAAAGACAAGGACUAUGUGACUGUAUGAAAUGGAGCGAUCACAUCCAACCUGAAGAUCAGGAGAAACUGGAGCCCUCCUGAGGACAGAGCCCUUGAAUUAGAUACAGAAAGGAGGGGUAUAAAUCCUGCCUUCUCUCAGCCUUACAGAGGAAGAAAACCCUUUCCAAGUUUCCUCUGAUACUGGGUUUAUGCCCAAUUAUAGUUUAGGCAUGAAGAAACUGAAGCAUGGAGGAAAAACUUAGCAACUAGCCCAACGUCACACAGGCAAGCCAGCCUUGACAAUGUGCUGAUGGCAACCUAGAACAUAAGCAGAGGAGUAUACAGGACAAGAACUUGAUGGUCUCGGGAA